rnacentral:lncRNA from 1 species
AAAGAAUGCUGUCUAUGAGGAGGAUGAGCUGGAGGAGGAGCCCAGGAGCACUGGGGAGCUGAGGCUCUGGGAUUACCGGCUCCUCAAGGUCUUCUUUGAUCUGCUUCCUGGUCAUGUCCUCAUCCUACCUGGCGUUCCGUAUUUCUCGGCUAGAGCAGCAGUUAUGCUCCUUGAGUUGGGAUGACCCAGUCCCUGGGCACAGGUAACAGCCACUUGGCCUUUGUCCCCAUUCCUUCUCCAAGAAGAAUGUUCUGGGUGCUAAGUCUCCACCAAUGAUCCCUGUGGUUUAUGCUGCUGCUGUGCUAAGACUGCCUAUGAAGGAAAAUAUUCCAGAUCCCUCCUCCUCCCCGCAGCUCUUCUCUUCCCUCUAUGAGAGAUCUGAAGUACGUGUUUACAAAGUAACUGGCUUCUACAAUUUUUGGACUCAAGCAAAAAGCCAGAUUUUUUGGAACCAACUGAGGAAUUCUGUACACAAAGCUUCAGCAAACACUUAGAGAAAACAAACAAACAAACAAACUGGGUCCUUGGAAACAGUUCUGGCACACAGGCAGAACACUGGAGGCCACCUCAAAGGACAGAGGCCAUGCUUUCGCAUUUGGAAUGUGGCUCUGCCACACAGCUCACUCCUAUGGUGGGGUCAGAGGUCAGAACACAAACCACCCAUGUGGGCUCUGCUCCCUCCCAACACUCUGUGUUCCCACAGGGCUUCUCUGCGGGCAGCCAGGCACCUGUCAGGCUUGGGCAGGGGCCUGCUGAGAAUCUGUGAAUGCAGAGGGGAGGGCUCAUGGCCAGGAUUCCAGCCAGAGAUGAAUUUCCAUGCUCUGGGCCAGGGCUCUGUGCCGGCCCCUCAUGAGGUGGCUGGCUGCAUUAUGGGGAGAUGCUGCCCACGGCGGAGAUGGUGGCAGUGGCUGUGAAGAACAGAGGUACCUGAAUUCUGUGUCCUCAGCUGUCACUUUCCGGUGAGACAAGUGGAGCAGGGCCUUUGAUCACUGUGGUCACAGACCUGGUACUGGGUUUUGCCCUUGUGUGCUCAAACAUUUCUAAGGUGUCCCAAGCCCUGGAAAUAGGGAAGGGAAGGGUGGAGGCUUGGAUCUGAGGUCUUGCUGUCCACUCCCUGCCUGCCUGCCCGCAUCUCAGGCAUGGCCAACAGCAGCCCGUUGAGGGGGGCUUGUCUGGACAGUUGCGUGUGAUGGUGUUGAGCCAUCACAGGGCAGAGGUCACUUGUGUCACCCCCAUAGUCAUUGGGUUGCAGGCCAUGGAGGAGGGACCUCCACUCCAUGGGGCCUAUUCUCCAUUAAGGUGGAAGUGUCCACUGUGGGCCUAGCACAGUGCAGGAACCAGGCCAGGGGGUCUAUCUCAUACCUCUGGGGACAGGAAAGGUAGAGGAUGAGGAGGUUGGACGUGGUGGUGGCUUUGCCUUGGAUAUUCCUCUUCCUCUAUCAAGGCCUUCUCUUCUUCUCUGUGUCCCACAACUCUGGCCUCAUCGCCCUGGGACUCCCAUCUGCUAAGAUAGUGGCUUUGGAGGUUCUGGAAGGGCUUAGUGAGGAGGCCAGAAGUAUCAGGGAAAGUUGCUGGUGAUGGGGUGGGCGGUGUCAGAAGCAGCCACUGUUUUCCCCUCUUCAGACACUGAGAGAUUAAUCAGGGAAUGAAAUCCAGGUGGAAAUUAUUUAUUGUGAAGCAGACGACUGUCUGUCCUGUUUAUGACAAACCCAAAUGAGAAUUGGAGGGACUACCAGUAAGUGGUCUCUUCAUGCUCUCCCCAUCCCAGUUUUUAGGAUGAAAUUUAGAGCCUGGCCUUUUGUGUUGCUUGCACCAAAUCUGUAUGUCUCAGGUGAAACUCACUGUUCCAUGAAUGGUCAUCCUUUUUUUUUUUUUUUUUUUGGAACCAGCCCCUUUCACCCUUUCAUCCGUCUUUUUUUU